rnacentral:rRNA from 1 species
AUGAGUGUGUUUCGCUUACCGGUCUCUGUUUGUGAUGAUUUAACACGAAUGAUGAGACAAUACUGGUGGGGAGUAGAGAAUGGUAAGAGGAAAAUGGCCUGGCUCAGUUGGGAGAAAAUGAUUUUACCCAAGGACAUGGGUGGUAUGGGAUUCAGAGACAUGAGGGCUUUUAAUCAGGCACUACUUGCAAAGCAAGCUUGGAGAUUGCUUGACAGUCCGGAGAGUUGAUGUGCUCGUUUACUUCGGGCUAAAUAUUAUCCCAAUGGGAAUCUUCUUGAUACAAUUUUUCCAUCGAGUUCGUGUGCUGUGUGGAAGGGAAUCAUGUAUGGAUUAGAGCUGUUGAAGAAGGGGCUUAUAUGGCGAGUGGGAGAUGGUUCUUUAAUCAAAACUUGGAGGGAUCCCUGGAUCCCGAGGAGGCACGAUUUCAGACCGAUCAUCCCAAAAAGAAAUUGCAGAUACAGUUGGGUCGCGGACUUUCUGGAUGACUCUGGUGCAUGGAAUAUGAAGAGGUUGCGGCAAUAUUUCUGAGAUAUGGACGUCCGCGAAAUUUUGAAGAUCCGGACGUCACCAAGAGGGGGCCAAGAUUUCCUAGCUUGGUUUCUGGAGAAGAGUGGACUGUUCACAGUUAAGAGUGCUUAUCAUCUAGCAGCAGAGAACCAAGUGGCACAUGCGUUGGGCGCAUCAAAUACCAGCCCGAGCGGACACAUGCCCAUCUGGAGGCGAGUUUGGGAAGCUCGGGUUCCGCUCAAGAUGAGAAUUAUGGCGUGGAAGGCUAUGUCAGGAGCGCUUGCAACUAAUUCUUGCAAGAAAUAUAGGCACAUAUCCACUCGAGAUACAUGUCCUCUCUGUGGUACAGAAAGGGAGACCAGCUUCCAUGCGCUGGUCACUUGUGUUUAUGCUCGAGCAGUGUGGACGCAUAUGCGUUCAAUGUGGAACCUCCCUGAUCAUCAAUUGCUGCGGGAUACAGGUAAUGAGUGGCUUUUGAAUAUUCUGAUGAAUUGCAAUGAUGAAAUGCGGGACUGCACCAUAAUGUUAAUCUGGAGGAUUUGGACGCUACGGUCGGACAUGUCGCAUGGUAAAGCUAUACCGAAUCCGGCGGUGACGGCCGACUACCUUCAAAGUUAUAUGCACUCGCUACACUUGGCUAGAAGAUACUUUACAGAGGAGAUCAUCAAGGGGAAGAUGCCAGUGUAG